UGCAUUGCAUGGUAUCUGCAUUCAGCAGUUUAUUCUGCUGGGUGUUCAAAGCACAAUGCUGAUAUAAAUUUAGUAUCUGGCAUCGUUGUUUUUCUUGGCUUUGCACAUGUUAGACCUGGCAUUUUUACUGAUACAGUA